rnacentral:rRNA from 1 species
GACAGAGGGUGCAAACGUUGUUCGGAAUUACUGGGCGUAAAGCGAGUGUAGGCGGUUUGGUAAGUCGGAUGUGAAAGCCCCGGGCUCAACCCGGGAAGUGCACUCGAUACUGCCAAGCUAGAGUAUCGGAGAGGUUGGUGGAAUUCUCGGUGUAGAGGUGAAAUGCGUAGAUAUCGAGAGGAACACCUGCGGCGAAGGCGGGUAGCUGGGCCGACACUGACGCUGAGGCGCGAAAGCCAGGGGAGCGAACGGG